CGACCGGCGCACGGGUGAGUAACGCGUAUGUAAUCUACCUGUAACAGAGGGAUAACCCGGAGAAAUCCGGACUAAUACCUCAUAGCACAUAUUACUCGCAUGAAUUUUAUGUUAAAGAGACUCGGUUACAGAUGAACAUGCGUUCCAUUAGCUAGUUGGCGGGGUUACGGCCCACCAAGGCAACGAUGGAUAGGGGUUCUGAGAGGAAGGUCCCCCACAUUGGAACUGAGACACGGUCCAA
rnacentral:rRNA from 1 species